CCUACGGGGGGCAGCAGUGAGGAAUAUUGGUCAAUGGGCGGGAGCCUGAACCAGCCAAGUCGCGUGAGGGAAGACGGUCCUACGGAUUGUAAACCUCUUUUGCCGGGGAGCAACGGGGUCCUUGCGAGGGCCCAAUGAGAGUACCCGGAGAAAAAGCAUCGGCUAACUCCGUGCCAGCAGCCGCGGUAAUACGGAGGAUGCGAUCGUUAUCCGGUUUUAUUGGGUUAAAGGGGUGCGUAGGCGGGCUGUAAAGUCAGCGUGAAAAUGUCGGGGAUAAACCCCGGCCUGCCGUUGAAACUGGCGGCCUCGAGUGGGCGAGAAGUAUGCGGAAUGCGUGGUGUAGCGGUGAAAUGCAUAGAUAUCACGCAGAACUCCGAUUGCGAAGGCAGCAUACCGGCGCCCUACUGACGCUGAGGCACGAAAGCGUGGGUAUCGAACAGGAUUAGAUACCCUGGUAGUC
rnacentral:rRNA from 1 species